rnacentral:rRNA from 1 species
GAUGAACGCUGGCGGCGUGCCUAAUACAUGCAAGUCGAGCGAACGGACGAGAAGCUUGCUUCUCUGAUGUUAGCGGCGUACGGGUGAGUAAAACGUGGAUAACCUACCUAUAAGACUGGGAUAACUUCGAGAAACCGGAGCUAAUACCGGAUAAUAUUUUGAACCUCAUGGUUCAAAAGUGAAAGACGGUCUUGCUGUCACUUAUAGAUGUAUCCGCGCUGCAUUAGCUAGUUGGUAAGGUAACGGCUUACCAAGGCAACGAUGCAUAGCCGACCUGAGAGGGUGAUCGGCCACACUGGAACUGAGACACGGUCCAGACUCCUACGGGAGGCAGCAGUAGGGAAUCUUCCGCAAUGGGCGAAAGCCUGACGGAGCAACGCCGCGUGAGUGAUGAAGGUCUUCGGAUCGUAAAACUCUGUUAUUAGGGAAGAACAUAUGUGUAAGUAACUGUGCACAUCUUGACGGUACCUAAUCAGAAAGCCACGGCUAACUACGUG